CAUUUGUACCAGCAGCUAUUUUCAUGACUUAAAAAUCACAUGUGAUCUGAUAUCAAAAACAUCUAACAAUGACUCUGCCCAUCAAUUCCAUCUCGGGACUGCCUUCACACUGCUGCAGACAGCCUUGGCUUGAACAUCUGCCUAAUUACUCUGUGAAUCUGAUCUGAUGAAAAUCUUGCACAUUUUACUGGGCAAUCCAGGAAGGUCCUAUGAGAUGUAUCAACCAGAUACAGAUUUCAGGUCUUUAAUUUUGAAGGCCAGUGUGUGUGUCGUUGUUUACUUCCUUGUAAAUGUUUUAUAUGCUAUUUAAAACAAAAGCUUCAUUAAAAAGCGACUGUUAACCUGCUACCUGAUUUGGCAAUUCUAAUACUUACCUACAACACCUUUGAUUCUAUCAGAGAAACUCUUUUGUUGAUGUAAUUCUGCUGGGAGCAAUUGUUCUGUAACAAGUGAUGUCACAGUCACAUUCAUUGCAUAGGCUGGUUCAUCAUAAAUAGCCAUCAAGCCAGAGUAGUGAGCUACUUAAAAACAGUUGAACGGUGAUUUCCAUUUCAGUUCUUUUUUUUCUUUAAAAACCGAUCAUACCAAAUCACAUAGGAAAAUCCUGUGAGAAUUUAUACAAUGAUUGUCGUUGGUUGGCUGCUAUUCCUUCUCACUUUGCAUCUGAUAAACAGAAUUCCAAAAGCUAAGGGGGAACCAGCAAAGAACGAAGGUGAAAACAAGCCUUAAUUGGCAGACUCCCUUAGACAAACAUCGCCUAGGACAGAAUUUCCUCCUAUUUUAAGAACGAUGGUCCAGUUUGGAAGCGCAGUUUAAGGCACCACCAAGAAAGGAGAUUUCCUGCUCAUGAACUAAUAGUUAAUGAAGUACUGAAGACAAUGAAGCCUUUUGUUCCUGUUGUUGGUAACUCAUAAAACCCUUGCGAGCAUCA